CAACAUAGUCAGCCGCCAUGCAAAAAAGGCAAGCAAAAAGUCAACAAGAAAAAUUGUAAAGGAAGAGAAAACCAACUACUUUUCCUCUCCAUUAUCGUCAAGAAUUGAUUCAGUCACAAAUCUAGAGGUUCAUCUUUCUCUCUGUCGCUCUCUUUCUCCUUUAUCUGAGAAAUCAAGGCCCUUUCGUUUCUUUUCAUUACAGAAGGGAUGAUUCAUGGCCUUUUCUCACAGGAAAUUUCUGAAUGAAUCACUAAAAGAUCCUGAUAUUGAGCGACUAUGCGCACCUUAUUGCUAUGGAACAAUAAACCUGGAUGGUGCUUGUCCAGUUCCAUGUUUGAGUAGCUGUUUUCUGGUUUGCAACCACCCAAUAUUGCCUUUUAUCCCCCCGCCGCCGCCUGAACCAUCCCAACCCUUCCACGCCGAUUUUAAGCCACCCCCAGAUAAAUCUCACAAACUCUCUCUUUCGCUUACCAUCUCUCUUGCUGUGUUAGCCACAAUCUUCUUUUUCUUUGCUUGUUACACCAUCUAUAAGUUGUAUUCUAAUUGGCGGAAUUCGCGGGCGGAGCGGCGGCAGCCACCGGAAGAGGAGGAGGAGGAGGAGGGCCAAGAUCGUUAUUUUGACGAAGAUCAGUUGGCCGUUAUCAAUCCAAUUUGGUACAUCAGGACAGUUGGACUUCAACCAUCGGUUAUAAGUGCAAUUUCAAUAGUCAAGUAUAAAAGAGGCGAUGGACUUAUUGAGGGAACAGAUUGUUCUGUUUGUUUGAUGCAAAACGUCUCUCAUCCUCUCUUCUAUCCAAAAUCAAAAUCAUUCAUUUAUUUUGAUUUUCUUUCAUUUCAUCAUUGGAGUACAUAAACCUAAAUUUGGUUCGUUGUACUUGUGUUUUGGAGUGCUACAAACACAAGUGUAGCCGUUGUAUCUUGGGAGUCGAUUGCCGAAAUCCGUAGGCACCUUUGCGGGGCAAAUUCGACUUAAGGACAAAGAGUCCAACUCUUGCCUCGGCUUUGUCCCUAUCUUUAUACUUAUUUUUGGCGUCUCUAUUCACAAAAUUCUUCCAACACCCAUACAUUCGUUGUAAAAAUAAUUUUGUUAUGUUUGUUAUCAGUAAUUUAGUAAUUAGAUCGUGCUUAGCAAACUUAACUUAUAAUUUAAUCUAAUUACACAUACUUUUCAUUCACACAUUUCGUACAAUCUGUAAUUUAUUAUUCACAUAAUAUUCUAUAGAACAUACAUAUUAUAAACACUUAAAAGUAUUGACAAACAAGCAUUUAGUAUAAUUAUGGAUUUUUGUAAUGUGGGAGGUACCCCACAUUUAUUUUGCACGAUUCUCUUCUCUAUCUAUUGUAAAUGUUAGGUGACAAGUCUCCUUCCAUGUAUUUUAUUAUUAUCCAAUGAAUAACGUUAUUCAUAGCUAUGGUGAUGAAGAGCAAUUAAUGUGGUUGUUGGGCAACUAUCAAAUUGUCCAAUAAAUAUAAAUACGUCUCACUUCACUGGAGAACGUUGCAAUGAAUAGACAUUUGUACCAUCAAGAGAGCUACUUUUGUUUCGAUCAAUUAAGAAACUUUAAUUGCGAGAAGUUCAAGCAUCAAGUCAUAUCGAUCAAAAUUAGCAACAUAUGAGCUUAAUCUCAGAACUUAGUUAGUCUUGAUGCUCUCGAUCCUCCCUCAAUCAAUGAGUUUGUUUCAGAUGAUGACAAUUACAUGUACAUCACGAGACACAUGAAAUUUCGAAUUGUGAUUAAGUCACAUGAGAUAUCCCCAAGGCAUAUCUUAGUAGUGUAAAAGAGAAUGGUGAGGUAUACUCAGCCUUGUUGAUAGUCGCAGUGUGAGAGUUCGAUUCCUGAAACAUGGAUUGAAACUCUUUGUGGGCAUCAGUGUACAGAUAACUCUUGUUCUCUGGCCUACUGAGGCACAUCCCGCAAUUAACUUCUCUCACGAUACUCUAGGAGUGGAGCGGUGGGGACCUUUAAGGUUGGGGUUCAACUACUUUUUUUUUUUUUUAUUCUUUUCAUUUUGGAAAAAUCAUAAAGAAGUGAUGCUGAUCUAAGUGUACUUGGUCAAACUUUUAUGUUUAUCAAAUUAAACGCCCCUCGAAAAAAGACAUAAUUGACCUUCCACCCACCCAACCACCAACUGUCCUUCAAGUUACUGCAAGUUUGGGCUGGGCUGGAUGAGGACUAGUCCAAGCCCAACAUAGUCAGCCGCCAUGCAAAAAAGGCAAGCAAAAAGUCAACAAGAAAAAUUGUAAAGGAAGAGAAAACCAACUACUUUUCCUCUCCAUUAUCGUCAAGAAUUGAUUCAGUCACAAAUCUAGAGGUUCAUCUUUCUCUCUGUCGCUCUCUUUCUCCUUUAUCUGAGAAAUCAAGGCCCUUUCGUUUCUUUUCAUUGCAGAAGGGAUGAUUCAUGGCCUUUUCUCACAGGAAAUUUCUGAAUGAAUCACUAAAAGAUCCUGAUAUUGAGCGACUAUGCGCACCUUAUUGCUAUGGAACAAUAAACCUGGAUGGUGCUUGUCCAGUUCCAUGUUUGAGUAGCUGUUUUCUGGUUUGCAACCACCCAAUAUUGCCUUUUAUCCCCCCGCCGCCGCCUGAACCAUCCCAACCCUUCCACGCCGAUUUUAAGCCACCCCCAGAUAAAUCUCACAAACUCUCUCUUUCGCUUACCAUCUCUCUUGC
rnacentral:lncRNA from 1 species